GUACACAAAAAUGCACAUACUGUGAGCUCGAUGAGUAGGGCGGGACACGUGGUAUCCUGUCUGAAUAUGGGGGGACCAUCCUCCAAGGCUAAAUACUCCUGACUGACCGAUAGUGAACCAGUACCGUGAGGGAAAGGCGAAAAGAACCCCGGCGAGGGGAGUGAAAAAGAACCUGAAACCGUGUACGUACAAGCAGUGGGAGCCUCUUAAUGGGGUGACUGCGUACCUUUUGUAUAAUGGGUCAGCGACUUAUAUUCUGUAGCAAGGUUAACCGAAUAGGGGAGCCGAAGGGAAACCGAGUCUUAACUGGGCGUUAAGUUGCAGGGUAUAGACCCGAAACCCGGUGAUCUAGCCAUGGGCAGGUUGAAGGUUGGGUAACACUAACUGGAGGACCGAACCGACUAAUGUUGAAAAAUUAGCGGAUGACUUGUGGCUGGGGGUGAAAGGCCAAUCAAACCGGGAGAUAGCUGGUUCUCCCCGAAAGCUAUUUAGGUAGCGCCUCGUGAAUUCAUCUCCGGGGGUAGAGCACUGUUUCGGCAAGGGGGUCAUCCCGACUUACCAACCCGAUGCAAACUGCGAAUACCGGAGAAUGUUAUCACGGGAGACACACGGCGGGUGCUAACGUCCGUCGUGAAGAGGGAAACAACCCAGACCGCCAGCUAAGGUCCCAAAGUCAUGGUUAAGUGGGAAACGAUGUGGGAAGGCCCAGACAGCCAGGAUGUUGGCUUAGAAGCAGCCAUCAUUUAAAGAAAGCGUAAUAGCUCACUGGUCGAGUCGGCCUGCGCGGAAGAUGUAACGGGGCUAAACCAUGCACCGAAGCUGCGGCAGCGACACUAUGUG
rnacentral:rRNA from 1 species